rnacentral:tRNA from 1 species
GGCUAUAGCUCAGGGGUAGAGUGCUUGCCUAGCACAUGUGAGGCACUGGGUUCGAUCCUCAGUACCA